rnacentral:lncRNA from 1 species
AUGGGACUGGCAGCCAGGGGCUGUACUCCUCUCUGUGGUAACAAACAGAGUGCAGCUGACCUCUGGGGUCUCUUCCUGUCCAGGGCCCAAAGGGAGGCAGGCCAGACUCCCCCCAGGCAGCCACGUCACUCAGCCCACAGGACACUGUGCCUGGCUUGCCACCGGGGUUCCCCUCGGAGGCCCCUGAGCAGAGAAGAGAGAGGCCUGAACCAGCAGGAUGGGCCCUGCCCUGCACACGGAGGGCGGCCUCAGGGUUCCUCUGAGUCCCCACCCACCUGGGGUGAGGUGGGUGCCCAGGGGGGUCGGGGGCUGACCAUCUGUCACCGUCUGUCUCCCUCGGGCCCCACCUCUCCGCCUCCUUUGGCUUUGGGCACUGUCUCUGUCUCUGUCUCUCUUUUUCUCAUUCUCUCUCUGGUGCUAAUUCUUCCCUUCUUUCUAUCUCCUCCAUCUCUCCCAUGUGUUCUCUCUCUCUCUCUCUCUCUCUCUCUUCCUCCCUUCCUCCCUCCCUCCCUCCCUCCCUCCCUAUUUCUCUUUCUCAUUUUUCUGCUCGAUUCUCCAUACCCCAAACUCUCUUUUCUUCUUGCUCCCAAUUCUUCUAUUUCUCUGCCUCCCUCUCUUAACCCCCGAACCUGCACCUGUUUGUCUUUGUUUCUCUUUUGGUUUUCUCCUCCCUUUCCUCCUCCUCCCCUCCUCCCCUUUUUUUCUACCUCCCAUUUAGAACUUUGCUUCUGUGUGCACCUGCGUGUGUGUGUGCGUGUGUGUGUGUGUCUCCCUCUCUUCUGUGUUACCGCUCCUCCCCCUCUCCUGAUUCUCCUCUUCCCCUUUCUCUGUCUGUCCCCCCGCCCACCUCCAUACCGUGACUCCCGCUUCCACGUCAGGACCCCAGGCCCAGGCCCACAGAAGUCCCUGGGUGUGUCUCGCUCUUUCCCAUUCAUUCACCUUUUCCCAGCCAUGACCAGCCCCUGCCCCUCCCUGGAGAGACAGGCAGGGUGGGGCUCCUCACUCACAGCGUGGGGUGGGGGGUGGGGGGAGGCCCAAGAAGGGGAGUGA